UGGCGGAGGGAAGAGCGAUACGGUUGGAAACCGGUGAGUGCGUACGCUUCCCAGCUGGCUGGCGCUGCGAGUACGAUCGGAAAAUAAGGGGUGAAAUUUAAACGGAAUCGGCACGCCAAUUUUAAUAAACCCCACUGCCGGCCAUAAGAUUAAUACUCCAAGAUCCAACUCCGAUUAGGUCUUGUUUUUUUGGCGAGUUCGAACGAUCUCUCUCCCCGGUAUCCUCUCCCUUUGUUUCCAGGGGGUUUGUUUUCUUACUUGCUCCGCAAUAUUUCUUGCAUAGAAACCACUAAAACCCUCUCUCGCCCGGCCUCCCGAUCCUGGACUCCGAUGUCGGCGUUAAUGGCGGAGGACACGAGGGGAGGAAGAACAAGAGGAGGAAGAGGAUGGACGACCGAAGAAAAGCUUCUCACCGGCGAGAAGGUCGAGGUUUUGUAUUUCGAUGAAGGGCUUCUUGGUUCUUGGCAUUUGGGUAAGGUCAUUGGUUGUGGCGACUGCUCCCGUCUUAUUGAAUAUACCAAUCUCUUAAAUGACGAUCAGAGUUCGAAACUCGUGGAAUCGGUUGCAGUAUCAGCUGCUAUAGAAGGUACAUCAAGGACAGUCCCCAAGUAUUACCCGUGGCCAGAUAAGACCUUUGCCGCCUCAGUACAAGAUGCGAGGAUCUGAUAUCAGAUAUGGGCUGGUGUGUUGAUGCCUUGGUGGAUGAUGCCUGGUGGGAAGGCGUAGUCUUUGAUCAUGAGGAGGGUUCUGAACAAAGGAGGGUUUUCUUUCCAGAUCAAGGGGACCAACAGAUUAUCUCUGUUGACCGGCUGCGCAUUACCCAGGAGUGGAAUGAAGUUUUCGGGGACUGGAAGCCUCGUGGCAAAUGGCUGUUGCUUCAGGUUCUUCGGACCUUUGAAGAGGAAGACGGACUUCCUGUUUCAAUCAGGGAGAUAUGGUAUGACUUGAGAGCUACACGUGGUUUCUUGGAGAAAAUUAAGGGAUGGACUUUUGAAACAGGAGAUAUCUGGCACAGCUUGGUGUCUGAGUUAAUACAAGUACUGUGGUCUGUUGUCAGUGGAACAACUGUUUCUGAAAUACUUCCUUCCAAUCAGUUAAUCAAUCUUCCCAUUACUUCUAACGAUGUCCCAAUGGAUGAUGUUCCUCGUCUUGAAGGUACCAAUACCCAGAUGGAUGGCACAGGCAUGAGUGGUUGCUUGGCUGGUAUUGUAAAUAGUAUUUCCUCUCCAGAACCAUGCAUGUCUGAUGAUCUUUUUUGGCUUGGAUAUACUGAAAGCUUAUCUCAGGGGAAGUAUGAUAAUGGAAGUUGUUCUCAAGCAUCCCAAAGAGAGGGGGUCAUGGAAGCUUCGGGUGGAGUGGUUUCUGGAGGAAGCCCUUCUCGAUUAUGCGAUCCAGAUGAAUGUAAUGCAAAACCUGGAAGUGGCCCUAAAGCUAUAUCAGACUUCAUCUCAGUAUAUCACACUAAACCUCUUCCUCCAUAUUUGAGAAAAAGAACUCAUGUUACACGUCAGCUUGCAAAGGCUCAUCUUCUGGCUGUAGGUUGGCAGUUCAGGGAAAGUUCUAAUGGAAACAAGUACUAUGUUUCACCUGAUGGAACCCGUUAUGCAUCUUUUAUUAGAGCAUGUGAAUCAUGGAAAGCAGCAGAAGAAAAUGCAGAUACUCGGAAAGCCGUGAUCUGCAGUGGUGCCACUGACAUUCCAAUAUGUGAUGGCCAAGGAAAUUGUUCCAAUUGGAACCUCACAUGCAGGGACAAUGAGGCUGUGAAUAGAUCACCCUCAAGAGCUGCUGGAACUUGGAAACCUGUGAAAAUAGAGGCUGAAUACUCUCCUGAGGCCAUAUCAUUAUAUGCACCUGGAUUAGAAAGUGGAAUGCCUCAGCUAAGAAGAUUAAGACCAACCAAUCUUAAUCAUGACAAUUUGAGGCUAAAAGUGAAGAAGCAUCUUUUGGCUUUGGGUUGGAAGAUUGAAAUCAAAAGAGAUGCAAUUGUAAGGCUUCGGUUCUGUUCGCCUGAGGGGAAGACUUAUUACUCCCUUUAUCAGGUCUGUUGUGAUUUGCUGAAGGGGCACCAGAAAGUGGGUCAGGGAUGCAGAGCUGAUGAUGAUCUGGAGGGAAACUGCUCGAGUCAAAAAGAAAAUGCAAAUAAUCCUGCAAAGAUUCAUCCUGAACCAGUGUCUUUUGCUGGAGACACUCCAGUGCAUUCUUGGUCAAUCAAAAGGAAAAAGCAUCAGGUUGAGCAUUCUACCCAUGCUAUUGCACUAUUUGCAGCCACUGAAGGUGUGAGAAAAUGCAAUGCACAAACAGAGAGAUCUAACUUUUCCGAAUUUGUAGACGCUGAUGAGCUUCCAAAUUCUUGCGCCAUUGGGGUAUUUUCUUCAGGAGAUUAUGAGAACCACUCAGAAGUUGAUGUUAAUUGUGCUUCUUCAGGGAAAUUAAGGGAGGAUAACAUGACUGAGCAUCUCAAACCGGAGUAUUUACCAGAGGUGAUAACAGAGUAUGUCAACCACAUGGAUUCAUUAAAGCAAAAUGGCAAACAUGAUGCAGAUGUUAAACAGUUGAGACUAAAUGUUAAAAGACAUCUAUUAUACAUGGGAUGGCGCUUUUGGCUUAAAACCAAAGGAACAAAGCAGGAAUUAUGUUAUAACUCUCCGGAUGCGAGAUCCUAUCAUUCUCUUGCUACAGCCUGUAAAGCAUAUCUGGAAUCCAAAUGUCUUGAAAAUAUUAAUGUGAAGUCUCUUGAAUGCAUGGCGAAGAGCAAAAAAAUCAAGGGUGUUAUGACUCAUUCUGAAUUUGAACAUUCUGUCACGAAGAAUGAGCAGUAUAGAUUCCUCAGUUCUUCUGCUGCAAUGACAAGUAACAAGUCACAGGAAGCUGCCCAGAUAUUGCAUGAGGAGGCUGAAAAAGAUUCUGGAAUUUCUUGUAAUUCGUCAGAAUUUGGAGAACUCGGAUUUGGUAAAUUGCAAUUGAGAGGAGUUAGAAAUUCAAAGAAGAGAAGAAGAAAUUCUUCAUUUUCUCUUGAAGCUUUACAUAAUAGACUGCUGACUUCUCCAUCUUGCCACUCUUCUGAUUGUCAACAGUCUAAAAAAAGAAAGGGAUGCCAGGCUUCUGUUAGGCAAGGUCAUAGAUUAGACAGAAGUUUUUCACCGCGUGUGCUGCGGUCAAGCACAAGAUCACAACAGGUGGUGGCAUCGUCUCUCAGUCAGCAAACUGCUAAGACGGUUUUAUCAUGGCUGAUUGACAAUAAUGUUGUCUUACCAAGGCAGAAAGUAAGUUAUAUGCAUAAAAGAGAUGGCCAUGCUAUGAAAGAAGGCCGGAUAAAUCGAGAUGGGAUAAAGUGCACGUGUUGUCAUGAGGUGUUUAGUCUUUCUAAGUUUGAGGCUCAUGCUGGCAGCAGCACCCCACGACCGUCUGCCAGUAUAUUUUUGCAAGAUGGAAGGUCCUUGUUACAGUGUCAAAUGCAGAUGAUGCAUGCUGAUAAGCCUCAAGAUUUUCCACACGUAAGACUGAAGGGGGAUUACUCUCACUAUCAGAGUGACACAAUAUGCUCCAUCUGUCAAGAUGGGGGUAUAUUAAUGCUAUGCGACCACUGUCCAUCAUCAUUUCAUCUAAGCUGUGUUGGUUUAGAGGAUAUCCCUGAAGGAAAAUGGUUUUGUCCAUCAUGUAGAUGUGGCAUAUGUGGCCUCAGUGAAUACAAUCGUGACACGGAGAAAUUUACAGAAGAAACAAUGUUGUACUGUGAUGAGUGUGAGCGAGAAUAUCAUGUGGGCUGCUUGCAAGAAAAACGAUUGCAACGGCUAAGUCAUUGUCCACCUGGGAAUUGGUUUUGCAGCAAGAAAUGCUCAAAGAUUUUUUAUCGUCUUCGCAAACUUCUUGGGAAAUCUCACCCAACAUCUGUUGAAGGUUUAUCAUGGACUCUUCUGAGAUGUUGUAGAGAAAAUGGUGUAGACCUUGAUAAAUUUGAUCUUGAGACAAUGGCUGAGCAUCAUAGCAAAUUGUGUAUUGCGCUUGAUGUUCUGCAUGAAUGUUUUGUCGCUAUGAUUGAACCUCGCACCAAUAGUGAUGUUGUUGCUGAUCUUCUUUUCAAUAAAGAGUCAGAACUUAACCGACUGAACUUUUGGGGAUUUUAUACUAUGCUUCUGGAGAGGGGAGAUGAGCUGAUAUCUGUGGCUACAUUCAGGGUCUAUGGCGAAAAGGUUGCAGAAAUGCCUUUAGUUGGUACUCGAAUUCAAUAUCGACGGCAGGGAAUGUGCCGCCUUCUAAUGAAUGAACUAGAGAAGUUGCUUUCUUCAUUAGGAGUACAAAAGCUACUGUUACCAGCAGUUCCUCAGCUUUUUGAAACAUGGACAACUUCCUUUGGGUUUACUAAGAUGACCAGUUCUGACAGGUCAGACUUAUCAGAGUACACCCUUCUCAGUUUUCAAGAUACUACAAUGUGCCAAAAACUCUUAAGGAGAACUACUGCAGAUUUGAAAGAGCCAAGAGGAAAUAAUAAUCAAUUGGCAGAUAUAUCCUGUAGAAGUGAUGUGCAAGUAGAUUGCGACAAUUACAGCAUUACUUCCGAGGCUGUGGAGAUACUGGAGCCAAUCAGUAAAUCACCACCACUUGAUGCUGGUCUAUGUGGUUUGCCAACUGGAGAUACUGGGGAGUUCACUUAUCAAAUGGAUGCUGCACAUUCUCUUCCAAUCAGUAGCUGUAAAGAUACAUUAGUUGAGACAUUCCGAGAUAAAACAAACGAGCAGACGACAGUAAGUGUUGUUGCAGGCAAGUGCGAAGACAACUGUGUUUUAGUCAGAACGUCUCCGUCAACUAUAUUGGAGAAAGCAGUAACUGACCUCAAAUACAAGUUCUCAGGGAAAUGCUAUGAGCGCAAUGGGAAGACUGGUGCCAGCAGAGUGCACUUGGUUAGCAGUGUUGAUGUCAGAAACACAUGCAACUUCAAGUAUAUCUACCAGCGGAGGACACUGACGACAUAGAGCUAGCGGUUAUAGAGUCGUCUACAUCAGAAAGAGUUUUCCCUUGCUUAUAUAUUCGUAAACUUAAAUCCCGAUGAAGAAUCUAUUUUUCAGCACUUACAUAUCUGGUCGCCGGCUGUUUUGCCCAUCUUCUACUAGUGCACUGUACCUUUAUCCAGACUUGGACGCGUCUAAGUUGCUUCUGAUACAUCAAAGGUCUGUCGAUGGGUUUCUCCAUAGUGGUCUGCUGAAAAUUUUAGGCAUUAUUAUUUGUGGGCAAAUGGUUUGCAUUUCUUCACUCCUUUUUUUUCCUUCUAGUAAUUGAAUUCUGAAUUUAUGUUAAAAUGUGUGGACGCAUGAUCAAUUAACAUGCGAGUGGGCUUUCAUGUGCCCCCCUUUGAAUGGUCAUGGAAGAUGAUGGCUGAAGGCAUUUUGACUGCUGCUGUACCUCGGCCGGCACUUUCCUUUGGUUGGGCUACACUAAAGCGCACCAAUGAACGGCAGUUUGGGUCACGAAACACGACGAGACAAGGGCGGCAUGGUGCCAAAUUGCCGCCACCUUUUCGUGAGGUAACAGAGCACCUGGAACUCUCCUGCAACCGGAGUCUUCCUUUUAUACCUCAUUGCUAAAAGUAAGAUCAGGGUUGUGCGCUGAGUCUCUUUAUUUCUUAACUCCUAUUUUGUGGACCUCCCAAAAGAUGCCGCCAUCGUUGGCAUCAAAAUUUUAUGAAUUUUAUUGGUGAUCCUCUUCAUUAUGCCCACUAAUUUGUUCGGGAGUGCUUGAUGGAUGUUUCUCUGUCGUCAUAGAACUUGCAAUUAUAUGACUUAAAUUAUUUUGAUGGCACUACGCUCUCGUGCUUCUCCAUUUCCACUGCAUAUCUUUUCUCAUUUUUUAUUCAUUAUUCUAUGUGGUACCUGUCUUGGUCUCUUUUGGCGCCUGAGACUAUUUUAAAUCUUUUAGUUUUUUUCUUCGUUGUACAAGUAUCACAAGAGAUUUCCUUUCUUCAUGACUGUUUUGAUGAAAUUAAUAUUCCUUCUCCCUUGACAUUUUCUUCUUCCAAGUUAAAACUCAACAUCUUUCAUGUGACAUCCGUUUCUAUUUUAAACCAUAUCACUUACAUAUAUUAACUAUACUGUUUAAUGACCUGAAUUAUUUCGUCAAUGGGGUUUCAUUUCCUCAUAAUCUUAUAUAGGCUUAUAAUUGGAGUAGGAAUCUUCUACGAUCUUAGCUGUUAUCGGUAUUUAAAUCAUUUUUUUUUAUUAUUAUUGUCUUUUAACAUUCAUUACUGUGCAUCACCCAUAGAUUCAUUCUUAGUCAGAAUUUCAGCAAGCCGUUCAAGAUCCAGAGUUUGCGACGGCAAGGAAACCAAGGGAUGAGAUAGCAACGUAACAGUUUUUAUAAAGAGGAACGUAGGAGAGUCCUAUGUGACGAGUUCACCGCAGCGAACCCAGAGAAAACACCAGCACCUGAUUUACGUAAGCGCCUACGUCGCCGGAACCAUUACGUGUCGUCUUGCAGCCAUCAUGACCUUCCAUUUCCUUGAUCGCUUCCUCAUGAUGACGCCCAUCACGUGCGCCCCAUCCCCCCUCGCGGCCCCGGCCCCGGCCCCUUCCCGCUUUUCGAUCCAAAGUGGGAGCCAUGUAAACCCACCGUACGGUCCACCAAUCAAGAAUUUUUUUUAUUUUUUUUUGGUGCAAACAAAUCAUGAAUUAUUGAACUCUUUCCCCGUUAGAUAUCCUGCGGCACCAGCCGCCGGUGUGUCCAAAUUUGUUUCAUCUCAAGUGGGUCCCACGCCUUAUGAGCCCCACGUGUCCUCUGUUGGAGCCCAUCGCGCGGAUGAUUUUGUUCUGCCCUGGGGGCGAAUCGUAGCGAGGGUACCGCAAAA